GUGGGGAAUCUUGCGCAAUGGGCGAAAGCCUGACGCAGCCAUGCCGCGUGGAUGAUGAAGGUCUUAGGAUUGUAAAAUCCUUUCACCGGUGAAGAUAAUGACUGUAGCCGGAGAAGAAGCCCCGGCUAACUUCGUGCCAGCAGCCGCGGUAAUACGAAGGGGGCUAGCGUUGCUCGGAUUUACUGGGCGUAAAGGGCGCGUAGGCGGACAUUUAAGUCAGGGGUGAAAUCCCGGGGCUCAACCUCGGGACUGCCUUUGAUACUGGGUGUCUUGAGUAUGAGUGAGGUGUGUGGAACUCCGAGUGUAGAGGUGAAAGUCGUAGAUAUUCGGAAGAACACCAGUGGCGAAGGCGACACACUGGCUCAUUACUGACGCUGAGGCGCGAAAGCGUGGGGAGCAAACAGGAUUAGAAACCCGAGUAGUCC
rnacentral:rRNA from 1 species